rnacentral:rRNA from 1 species
GUCUGGUGGGUAGUUUGACUGGGGCGGUCUCCUCCUAAAGAGUAACGGAGGAGCACGAAGGUUGGCUAAUCCUGGUCGGACAUCAGGAGGUUAGUGCAAUGGCAUAAGCCAGCUUGACUGCGAGCGUGACGGCGCGAGCAGGUGCGAAAGCAGGUCAUAGUGAUCCGGUGGUUCUGAAUGGAAGGGCCAUCGCUCAACGGAUAAAAGGUACUCCGGGGAUAACAGGCUGAUACCGCCCAAGAGUUCAUAUCGACGGCGGUGUUUGGCACCUCGAUGUCGGCUCAUCACAUCCUGGGGCUGAAGUAGGUCCCAAGGGUAUGGCUGUUCGCCAUUUAAAGUGGUACGCGAGCUGGGUUUAGAACGUCGUGAGACAGUUCGGUCCCUAUCUGCCGUGGGCGCUGGAGAACUGAGGGGGGCUGCUCCUAGUACGAGAGGACCGGAGUGGACGCAUCACUGGUGUUCGGGUUGUCAUGCCAAUGGCACUGCCCGGUAGCUAAAUGCGGAAGAGAUAAGUGCUGAAAGCAUCUAAGCACGAAACUUGCCCCGAGAUGAGUUCUCCCUGAGACUUAGAG